rnacentral:rRNA from 1 species
AACGAACGCUGGCGGCAGGCUUAACACAUGCAAGUCGAACGCCCCGCAAGGGGAGUGGCCGACGGGUGGGUAACGCGUGGGAAUCUACCCAUCCCUACGGAAUAACGCAUGGAAACGUGUGCUAAUACCGUAUACGCCCUACGGGGGAAAGAUUUAUCGGGGAUGGAUGAGCCCGCGUUGGAUUAGCUGGUUGGUGGGGUAAAGGCCUACCAAGGCGACGAUCCAUAGCUGGUCUGAGAGGAUGAUCAGCCACAUUGGGACUGAGACACGGCCCAAACUCCUACGGGAGGCAGCAGUGGGGAAUAUUGGACAAUGGGCGCAAGCCUGAUCCAGCCAUGCCGCGUGAGUGAUGAAGGCCUUAGGGUUGUAAAGCUCUUUCACCGGAGAAGAUAAUGACGGUAGCCGGAGAAGAAGCCCCGGCUAACUUCGUG